GUGUCAGCCGCCGCGGUAAUACGGAGGGUGCGAGCGUUAAUCGGAAUUACUGGGCGUAAAGGGCACGCAGGCGGUUAAUUAAGUUGGAUGUGAAAUCCCCGGGCUUAACCUGGGAAUGGCAUUCAAGACUGGUUAGCUAGAGUCUUGUAGAGGGGGGUAGAAUUCCAUGUGUAGCGGUGAAAUGCGUAGAGAUGUGGAGGAAUACCGGUGGCGAAGGCGGCCCCCUGGACAGAGACUGACGCUCAUGUGCGAAAGCGUGGGGAGCAAACAGGAUUAGAUACCCUGGUAGUCCACGCUGUAAACGAUGUCGAUUUGGAGGUUGUGGUCAUGAAUUGUGGCCUCCGGAGCUAACGCGUUAAAUCGACCGCCUGGGGAGUACGGUCGCAAGGUUAAAACUUAAAGAAAUUGACGG
rnacentral:rRNA from 1 species